UCCAGUGCCCCUUGUGUUUGGAGAUGGU
rnacentral:sRNA from 1 species